rnacentral:rRNA from 1 species
UAGGGAAUCUUCGGCAAUGGACGAAAGUCUGACCGAGCAACGCCGCGUGAGUGAAGAAGGUUUUCGGAUCGUAAAACUCUGUUGUUAGAGAAGAACAAGGACGUUAGUAACUGAACGUCCCCUGACGGUAUCUAACCAGAAAGCUACGGCUAACUACGUGCCAGCAGCCGCGGUAAUACGUAGGUGGCAAGCGUUGUCCGGAUUUAUUGGGCGUAAAGCGAGCGCAGGCGGUUUCUUAAGUCUGAUGUGAAAGCCCCCGGCUCAACCGGGGAGGGUCAAUGGAAACUGUGAGACUUGAGUGCAGAAGAGGAGAGUGGAAUUCCAUGUGUAGCGGUGAAAUGCGUAGAUAUAUGGAGGAACACCAGUGGCGAAGGCGGCUCUCUGGUCUGUAACUGACGCUGAGGCUCGAAAGCGUGGGGAGCAAACAGG